AGCCACAUCACACUGAAACACCAGAUCCCAUACGAACACUGAAGUUAAGCAACAUCAAGCUUGGUCAGUACUUGGAUGGGUAAUCGCUUGGGAAUACCAGGUGCUAU